CCUACGGGAGGCAGCAGUAGGGAAUCUUUCACAAUGGGCGAAAGCCUGAUGGAGCAACGCCGCGUGCAGGAUGAAGGCCCUCCGGUUGUAAAAUGCUUUUAUCAGCGAGAAAUAUGAUGGUACCUUACGAAUAAGGAUCGGCUAAAUACGGGCCAGCAGCAGCGGUCAUAAGUAGGAUCCGGACAUUAUUCGGAGGUACUGGGUGUAAAGCGUUGUGUUGUUGGGAUAAGAGGUGGCUAGUGAAAACUGGUGGUUCAACCAGUCAGUCUAUUAGCUAAACUGUUGAGCUCGAGACCGUUAGGGGUAUGUGGAAUGUCUGGUGUAGCGGUGAAAUGCGUAGAUAUUAGGAAGAACUCCGAUAGCGAAGGCAGGUUACUGGGGCGCUUCUGACGCUAAGGCACGAAAGCGUAGGGAGCGAACGGGAUUAGAUACCCUAGUAGUC
rnacentral:rRNA from 1 species